GCCAGCUAUGAUGAUGAUGAACAAAGAGC
rnacentral:piRNA from 1 species